rnacentral:miRNA from 1 species
CGCGGCUCCGUCGACUGGUGC